CCAUCACCACCAUCAUAAAGCAUAGCCUUUCAGGUUUGUGCUGGAAGGUUAUUUGUUCCUUCCAGCGGCGCAGAUAAAGAAUUCUCGACCCCCGGAAGGAAACUUCCGGGGGUUUUU
rfam:Alteromonas confluentis strain KCTC 42603 Alteromonas_confluentis_KCTC42603_S25, whole genome shotgun sequence.